GGAAGGAUCAUUAACAUACUCCCAACCAAAAAGGGGUGCUGGAGGGGCUCUCGGGCUCCUUCACACCCCGACCCUAAAAGUGAACCCGAUCGAACAAGGGACGAUCGCGAGAGAGCGAGACACAACAUACCUCCAAUGGAGAUACUAUUCACUCAAACGACCGUAGACGGUGGAUGACUUGGCUCGUACACCGAUGAAGAGCGCAGCUAAGUGCGAUAUCUAGUGUGAAUUGCAGAAUUCUGUGAAACACCGAACCCUUGAACGCAUACGGCACCUGGCAGCAAUGCCAGGUACACCUGGCUGAGUGCGGCUUCCUCAAUUCCGUCAACUCACUCGAUGAGUUCGAACGGGUGCUCUGGCUUGCGACUCACCCUCGCUUCCAGCAAAUCCAUCCACAAUCAAAAGACCUCCUAAGUGUCGGGUCCUUUGAACCUUCUCUGGGCUGAAGGUGUCCUCAAAGUCUCUUUGCUGACAACUGUCGCACUCUAGCGGCCCUUGGUGAACGCGUUGAUAGCGAGUCUCACCAAGCGUCCAGCGAUGGUCAAGGAGCUUUUGGAUGCCGUCGACUCGGUGAUCGAAGGACUUGCGUGGUCUGGAACACGAAAGGGAAAGCUUCGCAGCUCCUAUAGCUGCCGCCUCAGCUCAGGUGGGACUACCCCCUGAACUUAAGCAUAUCAAUAAGGGGAGGAAAAGAAACUAACCAGGAUUCCCUCAGUAACUGCGAGUGAACCGGGAUGAGCUCAUACCCUAAUCUGGCGUGGGGCAACCUGCGUCCGAAUUGUAGUGUUUGGAGUGACUCACGACUUGAGCCAUGGGGGGAAGUGUGUUGGAACACACCGCCAUAGAGGGUGACAGUCCCGUACCUCCAUCGGCCUUGGGCCCACUGAGUUGCUCUUAGAGUCGGUAUGUUUGAGAGUACAUACCAAAGCGGGAGGUAAACUCCUUCCAAAGCUAAAUACGGGUACGAGACCGAUAGCGAACAAGUAGCGUGAGCGAAAGUUGCAAAGAACUCUGGAGAGAGAGUUAAAGAGUCCCUGAAACCGUCUACGGGUAAGCGUUUGGCUUGACCCUCUGUCGCUGGCAGCUCACCUGUCUCCGGCGCAUCGUGCGUCCUUCGUUCGAGCUGGCGCUCUGGCGCUGGCUAGAGGGAUGCGAGGUGUGUCGCGAGGCGGGGCACUCUGUCAGCGGCAACCAUCGACGGUGCUGGCUUCGGCAAACGGGCCUCGACUGGGUGCCAUCCACAGGCUUGCUUGUGGGCGGAUGUAAGUCGGGGCAUCUCGCCAUCGCUGGUACCGCUCGCGCGGUCGGCGCAGUGCGGUAUGGCGUCGGCUCCGAGUCUCGUCGGCUGUUGGGACAGCUUGCUGUGCCUAUGGCUUGCGGGGCUCUACGGGUCGGCUCAUCUACUGCCGACUACUCGAUGACUCGGGUUGGGCUAAAUGUCCCGUCUUGAAACACGGACCAAGGAGUCUAACAUGUGUGCGAGCCUAAGAGCUGGAAACUCGAAGGCGGAAUGAAAGUGACUUGAGGAUGGGAAGGGUCUCUAGGGACUCAUGCACCAUCGGCCCAUUGCUCUCUUCGGGGAGUGGUGGAGCUCGAGUACACCUGUUAGGACCCGAAAGGUUGCGAACUAUGCCUGCAUAGGGCGAAGCCAGGUGAAAACCUGGUGGAGGUCCGAAGCGAUACUGACGUGCAAAUCGUUCGUCAAAUGUGGGUAUAGCGGCGAAAGACUAAUCGAGCAGCCUAGUAGCUGGUUCCCUC
rnacentral:misc_RNA from 1 species